rnacentral:tRNA from 1 species
AAUAAGGUGCCUGAUAAAAGGGUUACUUUGAUAGAGUAAAUCAUGUAGGUCGGUCUUACCCUUAUUA